UUCGCAAUGCCCGAAAGGGUGACGAGGCGACGCCGCGUGUGGGAAGAAGGCCUUCGGGUUGUAAACCACUGUCGGGAGUUAAGAAAUGCAGGGGUGGUAAUAGUAUCCUUGCUUGACUAAGGCUCCGGAGGAAGCCACGGCUAACUCUGUGCCAGCAGCCGCGGUAAUACAGAGGCGGCAAGCGUUGUUCGGAAUUAUUGGGCGUAAAGAGCACGUAGGCGGCUAUGUAAGUCGGUUGUGAAAGCCUUCCGCUCAACGGAAGAACAGCAUCCGAUACUGCAUGGCUUGAGUGCGGGAGGGGAGAGUGGAACUUCUGGUGGAGCGGUGAAAUGCGUAGAUAUCAGAAGGAACGCCGGCGGCGAAAGCGGCUCUCUGGCCCAUAACUGACGCUGAGUGUGCGAAAGCUAGGGGAGCAAACGGGAUUAGAUACCCCGGUAGUCCUAGCCGUAAACGAUGGGCACUAAGUAGAGGGGUUUU
rnacentral:rRNA from 1 species